GCAUCUGUGGUGGAAUGGCAGACACGCUGGAUUUAGGUUCCAGUGCCGAAAGGCGUGUGGGUUCAACUCCCACCAGAUGCA
rnacentral:tRNA from 1 species